AUUGAACGCUGGCGGCAGGCCUAACACAUGCAAGUCGAACGGUAACAGGAAGAAGCUUGCUUCUUUGCUGACGAGUGGCGGACGGGUGAGUAAUGUCUGGGAAACUGCCUGAUGGAGGGGGAUACUACUGGAAACGGUAGCUAAUACCGCAUAACGUCGCAAGACCAAAGAGGGGGACCUUCGGGCCUCUUGCCAUCGGAUGUGCCCAGAUGGGAUUAGCUAGUAGGUGGGGUAACGGCUCACCUAGGCGACGAUCCCUAGCUGGUCUGAGAGGAUGACCAGCCACACUGGAACUGAGACACGGUCCAGACUCCUACGGGAGGCAGCAGUGGGGAAUAUUGCACAAUGGGCGCAAGCCUGAUGCAGCCAUGCCGCGUGUAUGAAGAAGGCCUUCGGGUUGUAAAGUACUUUCAGCGGGGAGGAAGGGAGUAAAGUUAAUACCUUUGCUCAUUGACGUUACCCGCAGAAGAAGCACCGGCUAACUCCGUG
rnacentral:rRNA from 1 species